AGCGAACGCUGGCGGCAGGCCUAACACAUGCAAGUCGAACGAACCUUUCGGGGUUAGUGGCGGACGGGUGAGUAACACGUGGGAACGUGCCUUUAGGUUCGGAAUAACUCAGGGAAACUUGUGCUAAUACCGAAUGUGCCCUUCGGGGGAAAGAUUUAUCGCCUUUAGAGCGGCCCGCGUCUGAUUAGCUAGUUGGUUGAGGUAAUGGCUCACCAAGGCGACGAUCAGUAGCUGGUCUGAGAGGAUGAUCAGCCACAUUGGGACUGAGACACGGCCCAAACUCAUACGGGAGGCAGCAGUGGGGAAUCUUGCGCAAUGGGCGAAAGCCUGACGCAGCCAUGCCGCGUGAAUGAUGAAGGUCUUAGGAUUGUAAAAUUCUUUCACCGGGGACGAUAAUGACGGUACCCGGAGAAGAAGCCCCGGCUAACUUCGUG
rnacentral:rRNA from 1 species